rnacentral:tRNA from 1 species
GGAGACGCCAGCCGAUGGGCGCCGGCCGCCGCCUCGAAAGCGGUCGGAGGCAGCGAUGUCUCGUGCGGGUUCGACUCCCGCCGUCUCCUC